CUCUGGAGCGACCAUGGUCGCUCAGGCUCCGGCCGCGGGGCCUCCGCGCUCCCUGUGAAGGGUCGGAAGAUGCGCCGGAAGUAGCAGCCGUCUGCUGGGCGAGCGGGAGACGGACCGGAUACCCCCGGGGGACCCUCUCGGAUCACCGCGCUUCUCCUGCGGGCCUCUAGGCCAAUGUGCAAUACCAACAUGUCUGUGUCUACCGAGGGUGCUGCAAGCACCUCACAGAUUCCAGCUUCGGAACAAGAAACUCUGGUUAGACCAAAACCAUUGCUUUUGAAGUUGUUAAAGUCCGUUGGAGCACAAAAUGAUACUUACACUAUGAAAGAGAUUAUAUUUUAUAUUGGCCAGUAUAUUAUGACUAAGAGGUUAUAUGACGAGAAGCAGCAGCACAUUGUGUAUUGUUCAAAUGAUCUCCUAGGAGAUGUGUUUGGAGUCCCGAGUUUCUCUGUGAAGGAGCACAGGAAAAUAUAUGCAAUGAUCUACAGAAAUUUAGUGGCUGUAAGUCAGCAAGACUCUGGCACAUCACUGAGAGAGAGCAGAUGUCAGCCUGAAGGUGGGAGUGACCUGAAGGACGCUGUGCAAGCGCCACCAGAAGAGAAACCUUCAUCUUCUGAUUUAGUUUCUAGACGGUCUACCUCAUCUAGAAGGAGAUCCAUUAGUGAGACAGAAGAGAACACAGGUGAGCUACCUGGUGAACGGCACCGGAAGCGCCGCAGGUCCCUGUCCUUUGAUCCGAGCCUGGGUCUGUGUGAGCUGAGGGAGAUAUGCUGUGACGGUGGCGGUGGCAGCAGCAACAUUUCUUCAACAUGGAGUCUCGCUGACAGAGACCAGACAACCAGAGCCCAGAUCUGUGAUAUGCUUCAAGGAGCAUUUACCCUGCUUCUCGGCACCAUCACUAAAUACACAAAAUGUCAGCAGCACCAAAAUAUCAAGCACUCAAGACCUACAGGCUCCUUCUGUGGAAACUGUGUUGAUGUAGUGCAGGGUAUUUGA